rnacentral:rRNA from 1 species
UUUGAUCCUGGCUCAGAUUGAACGCUGGCGGCAGGCCUAACACAUGCAAGUCGAGCGGAAACGAGUUAUCUGAACCUUCGGGGGACGAUAACGGCGUCGAGCGGCGGACGGGUGAGUAAUGCCUAGGAAAUUGCCCUGAUGUGGGGGAUAACCAUUGGAAACGAUGGCUAAUACCGCAUAAUGCCUACGGGCCAAAGAGGGGGACCUUCGGGCCUCUCGCGUCAGGAUAUGCCUAGGUGGGAUUAGCUAGUUGGUGAGUAAUGGCUCACCAAGGCGACGAUCCCUAGCUGGUCUGAGAGGAUGAUCAGCCACACUGGAACUGAGACACGGUCCAGACUCCUACGGGAGGCAGCAGUGGGGAAUAUUGCACAAUGGGCGCAAGCCUGAUGCAGCCAUGCCGCGUGUGUGAAGAAGGCCUUCGGGUUGUAAAGCACUUUCAGUCGUGAGGAAGGUAGUGUAGUUAAUAGCUGCAUUAUUUGACGUUAGCGACAGAAGAAGCACCGGCUAACUCCGUGCAGCAGCCGCGGUAAUACGGAGGGUGCGAGCGUUAAUCGGAAUUACUGGGCGUAAAGCGCAUGCAGGUGGUUUGUUAAGUCAGAUGUGAAAGCCCGAGGCUCAACCUCGGAAUAGCAUUUGAAACUGGCAGACUAGAGUACUGUAGAGGGGGGUAGAAUUUCAGGUGUAGCGGUGAAAUGCGUAGAGAUCUGAAGGAAUACCGGUGGCGAAGGCGGCCCCCUGGACAGAUACUGACACUCAGAUGCGAAAGCGUGGGGACAAACAGGAUUAGAUACCCUGGUAGUCCACGCCGUAAACGAUGUCUACUUGGAGGUUGUGGCCUUGAGCCGUGGCUUUCGGAGCUAACGCGUUAAGUAGACCGCCUGGGGAGUACGGUCGCAAGAUUAAAACUCAAAUGAAUUGACGGGGGCCCGCACAAGCGGUGGAGCAUGUGGUUUAAUUCGAUGCAACGCGAAGAACCUUACCUACUCUUGACAUCCAGAGAACUUUUCAGAGAUGAAUUGGUGCCUUCGGGAAUCUGAGACAGGUGCUGCAUGGCUGUCGUCAGCUCGUGUUGUGAAAUGUUGGGUUAAGUCCCGCAACGAGCGCAACCCUUAUCCUUGUUUGCCAGCGAGUAAUGUCGGGAACUCCAGGGAGACUGCCGGUGAUAAACCGGAGGAAGGUGGGGACGACGUCAAGUCAUCAUGGCCCUUACGAGUAGGGCUACACACGUGCUACAAUGGCGCAUACAGAGGGCAGCAAGCUAGCGAUAGUGAGCGAAUCCCAAAAAGUGCGCGUAGUCCGGAUUGGAGUCUGCAACUCGACUCCAUGAAGUCGGAAUCGCUAGUAAUCGUGGAUCAGAAUGCCACGGUGAAUACGUUCCCGGGCCUUGUACACACCGCCCGUCACACCAUGGGAGUGGGCUGCAAAAGAAGUAGGUAGUUUAACCUUCGGGAGGACGCUUACCACUUUGUGGUUCAUGACUGGGGUGAAGUCGUAACAAGGUAACC